rnacentral:rRNA from 1 species
GAUGAACGCUGGCGGCGUGCCUAAUACAUGCAAGUCGAGCGAACAGACGAGGAGCUUGCUCCUCUGACGUUAGCGGCGGACGGGUGAGUAACACGUGGAUAACCUACCUAUAAGACUGGGAUAACUUCGGGAAACCGGAGCUAAUACCGGAUAAUAUAUUGAACCGCAUGGUUCAAUAGUGAAAGACGGUUUUGCUGUCACUUAUAGAUGGAUCCGCGCCGCAUUAGCUAGUUGGUAAGGUAACGGCUUACCAAGGCAACGAUGCGUAGCCGACCUGAGAGGGUGAUCGGCCACACUGGAACUGAGACACGGUCCAGACUCCUACGGGAGGCAGCAGUAGGGAAUCUUCCGCAAUGGGCGAAAGCUUGACGGAGCAACGCCGCGUGAGUGAUGAAGGGCUUCGGAUCGUAAAACUCUGUUAUUAGGGAAGAACAAAUGUGUAAGUAACUAUGCACGUCUGGACGGUACCUAAUCAGAAAGCCACGGCUAACUACGU